rnacentral:rRNA from 1 species
GUGGGGAAUAUUGGACAAUGGGGGGAACCCUGAUCCAGCCAUGCCGCGUGUGUGAAGAAGGCCUUUUGGUUGUAAAGCACUUUAAGCGAGGAGGAGGCUUACCUGGUUAAUACCUAGGAUAAGUGGACGUUACUCGCAGAAUAAGCACCGGCUAACUCUGUGCCAGCAGCCGCGGUAAUACAGAGGGUGCGAGCGUUAAUCGGAUUUACUGGGCGUAAAGCGCGCGUAGGUGGUUAAUUAAGUCAAAUGUGAAAUCACCGAGCUUAACUUGGGAAUUGCAUUCGAUACUGGUUGGCUAGAGUAUGGGAGAGGAUGGUAGAAUUCCAGGUGUAGCGGUGAAAUGCGUAGAGAUCUGGAGGAAUACCGAUGGCGAAGGCAGCCAUCUGGCCUAAUACUGACACUGAGGUGCGAAAGCAUGGGGAGCAAACAGGAUUAGAAACCCUUGUAGUCC